UUUAGCGACGUUUAAUUAACGGCGUUUUUUUAAACGUCACCUUUUCUGAUAAUUAACGAUGUUUUGUAAACGUCGCCUUUUGUGUUAAUUAAAACGGUCCCAUUUCUGAAUAGAGGUCGUUUGAAAGCGCCUCCAAAUCCUUAUUUCCAAACCCACUCCCUGUCUCUCUUCAAACCCCUAUUUCCAAACCCUACACAAAGUCGAUCUAUUCUCACAACUCCAAGGUGACUCUCUCUCUCUCUCCCUCUCCCUCUCUAAACCCUAAUUUCAGUCUCAGAGGAUCGAAUCAAUACGAAGUUCUCUCGCUCGAUUCCCCUUCAGCAUGGUGAUUCCUCUUAGUGAUUCAUCUCAGAGCGAUUAUGACUUUGAUUUUGAAGUUCUCUCUCUCUUCAUUGUGAGCACCACCUUCUACAAUCUUAGAAAAAUCGAUCGAAUCCUUCAAAACCUUCUUCAGCUCGGUGAUUCCAGCUGUGGUGUUCGUCUUUGUGGAUUUGGAACUCUUCAUCUUCUUCGAUCAGUGAGAUCAGAGGAGUUGCCUGUUGCUUUUGUUACAUUCAGAAACUGGUGGGGUGCUACUCUAGCUGCCCAAUCUCAACAGCACUCAAAUCCACUUAUAUGGAUCACUGAAAUGGCUCCAGAACCAAGGGAUGUACUAUGGAGAAAUUUGUCAAUCCCAUAUAGGCAUUUGCCACUAUAUAAAAUUGGAGUUUUUGUUGCAGCAUCACUUCUUACACUAUUUUUUGCCAUCCCAGUGACUGUAGUUCAAGGAAUAGCAAAAUAUGAAAGAUUAAAGGCAUGGUUUCCUCCAGCCAUGGCUGUACAUUUGAUGUAAGAGUACUAUUCUUUAAUGUAUUUUUCUGUCAUAACAUUUAUCACAAAUCAAUGCUACAGAAUAAACAGCUUAUUCAUGCAUAUAAAGUGGUGGCUAAUUACUUGCUUACAUUUAUUUUCCUGCUUAGAUUCUGACACUAUUCUUAUCGGUCUGGUACAAUUGAUUCGUACACGUCUUUAUGUUGAUCAUUUUUUUUACUGAGAUGAUAUCUGUCCUACAGACCCUACUUAGGACCUGUCAUUACAGGGUAUCUUCCAAGUGCCAUCCUUAGUGGAUUUAUAUAUGUCAUUUUGUUUGCCAUGCUUGAAAUGGCUAAACUGGAAGGUUAUGUAUCGAGGAGUAAAAAGGAGAUAAAAGCUUGCAACAUGGUCUUCUAUUUUCUGUUGGGAAAUCUAUUCUUCUUAACCUUGUUAUCAGGGUCUUUACUUGAUCAAAUUGGACAAUCUAUUACUCAUCCUAGGGAUUUUCCUAGCCAUCUUGCAAGUGUUGUCUCAGCCCAAGUAAGUGUACUGAUCCUUAUUGAUUCACUGGAUAUAUUAUGUAACUGUAUAUUCCUUUUUUUUAUUUUUUUCUUCAUGUUUUGUAUAAUAUUCUGUUUUAGGGUUUGGCUAAUGUGAUAUGAGAAGGGUGAGAGCAAUGUGGAAAGCAUAUGAAACUGUGAAGAUGUAUAUUUCCAUAUUUUUAUUCUAUCUAUUCUUAGAUUUGGGUUGUUUUCUAUCUAAGGUUGUAUUAUGCAACAUUGUAAGAUUAAGGGAGCAUGAUGCAAUUGUUUUCUUUAUCUUUAAACUUACAGAAUCAAUUAUGUCCUUGCAUUAACUCUACUAUUUGCUGGAUUUAACUGUUCAAUAAUUUUUGACACUUCAAUGAAAUAAUGUUGUUCUUUGAUAAUUUUAUCACUCAUAAAGAUGAUCCAAGCAGUGGCUUAUUAAUCCCAUUGCUUUUUGUUUUUUUCUUUCAAGCAGACUUCUUUAUGACAUACAUCUUGACAAAUGGGCUGGCAGGAUUUUCCCUGGAGACAUAUUGAUUCAUAUAUCACUCAUAAGGGUAUCUUGACAAGCAUAGAUCAGACAUAUUGAAAAUUGUCAAGGAUGGUAUUGAGUAUGCUUUUGUUGAUGCUCCAAAGCAGCUAUCUUUUUUGGAUGGGGCUGUGGUCCAUUUCAUUUCCAAACUUCCUACACCUGAUAUCCUUGAAAUUUUGAAGGAUGUCCAAAAACAAACAGAGAACAUGAAUACAGAGGUGAAUGGAAAAGCACUCAUGCUUGAUGAAAUUAUAAACUAUGUGCAGUCACUGCAACGAGUUUUUGUCAAUGAAGUUAGCUUCUGUGAAUCCAAGGUUGGAAUUUAACAUGGAUAGUCUCUUGUCAAAAGAUGUAUUUCAGCCUAAUGGCUCUUUUCCUCAUCAAACAUACCCAUUAGAUUCCUCUGCUUCUGCUUUCUUUGGACAACAAACCCAGGAAUUUCCACCAGUGCAUACUAAUCUUUCCAAUGGGGACCAUACAAGUACCACAUUAUGCCAAAACAACGGCAUGCAAUUACCUCCGGUUGAUGAAUUCGGCCAAGGUCUUCCACAGGAAUAGUAUGUAUCCUGAGCAGUUGACUCAUCUCAGUUGUGAACUAUAACUCUUUAUGAGUUCAAGAAGAGUAUACAGUCUGUAAUGUUUUUGUAGUGGAAGUGGGUAGAACCAUAGACAGACCUGUAGACACCUUAAAGAUGGGUUUUGAGCCACUGGUUAGGUAUUGUCAGCCAGUGGCAAACAGACACUUUGGUUGUUUCCAUCUCCAAUUUGGUUCUUAUGGGCCUGUGCUUAUAUCGAAUAUGGCUGACUACGAAAAA